rnacentral:rRNA from 1 species
GGGUCAGUAGGUUGGUCGUGCCACCGGUACGUACUGGUCUCACUGAUUCCUCCUUCCUGAAUAACCGUAAUGCCAUUAAUUUGGUGUUGCGGGGAAACAGGACUGUUACUUUGAAAAAAUUAGAGUGUUUAAAGCAAGCUAACGCUUGAAUACAUUAGCAUGGAAUAAUGAAAUAGGACGAUCGAUCCUAUUUUGUUGGUUUGUAGGAUUGACGUA